rnacentral:rRNA from 1 species
GAUGAACGCUGGCGGCGUGCCUAAUACAUGCAAGUCGAGCGAAUGGAUUAAGAGCUUGCUCUUAUGGAGUUAGCGGCGGACGGGUGAGUAACACGUGGGUGACCUGCCCAUAAGACUGGGAUAACUCCGGGAAACCGGGGCUAAUACCGGAUAACAUUUUGAACCGCAUGGUUCGAAAUUGAAAGGCGGCUUCGGCUGUCACUUAUGGAUGGACCCGCGUCGCAUUAGCUAGUUGGUGAGGUAACGGCUCACCAAGGCAACGAUGCGUAGCCGACCUGAGAGGGUGAUCGGCCACACUGGGACUGAGACACGGCCCAGACUCCUACGGGAGGCAGCAGUAGGGAAUCUUCCGCAAUGGACGAAAGUCUGACGGAGCAACGCCGCGUGAGUGAUGAAGGCUUUCGGGUCGUAAAACUCUGUUGUUAGGGAAGAACAAGUGCUAGUUGAAUAAGCUGGCACCUUGACGGUACCUAACCAGAAAGCCACGGCUAACUACGUGCCAGCCGCCGCCGUAA